rnacentral:rRNA from 1 species
GACGAACGCUGGCGGCGUGCUUAACACAUGCAAGUCGAACGGAAAGGCCCUGCGUUUGCGGGGUGCUCGAGUGGCGAAGGGGGGAGUAACACGUGAGUAACCUGUCCCUGACUUGGGGAUAACUUCAGGAAACAGGGGCUAAUAUCGGAUAGGAGCUAUUGCUGCAUGGUGGGGGUUGGAAAGUUUCGGCGGUUGGGGAUGGACUCGCGGCUUAUCAGCUUGUUGGUGGGGUAGUGGCUUACCAAGGCUUUGACGGGUAGCCGGCCUGGGCGGGUGACCGGCCACAUUGGGACUGAGAUACGGCCCAGACUGCUACGGGAGGCAGCAGUGGGGAAUAUUGCAGAAUGGGCGGGAGCCUGAUGUGGCAACGCCGCGUGCGGGAUGACGGCCUUCGGGUUGUAAACCGCUGUCGCCUGUAACGAGGCGUGCGUGACGGUAAUGGGUAAAGAAGCACCGGCUAACUACGUG